CUGAACGUGAAUCUAAUACAAUUAUUUCAGUCUCGACUACCCAGAACUGGUGUCACAGUUUCACAGACGGUCUAAGAAUACUACAAUUAAAGGUAUGAAAGAAAUAAAAACAACACUGUCUCUGGAAAUACAUGAAAGAAACAGGAAUAAUAGAUAGAAGGAGACACCAAGGCUGAGGACGCCUGCAGGACUACCUCGGGUUGCCUGAUGAGCAAGAAUCAGCAAUUCCACUGCGAUCCGAAGUCUACAACACCGGGGUCUGCACAAAAGAGUGCAGAGUGUAGUAUCAGCAUAACCGACCCCAUGUGCUGGUAAGUGUCUAGCCUAACCUCGGCGAUGUAGUGACGAGUCUAGGACCAGACUACCAAAUAAAUCUGUGCAAUUUAACUAUAUACAGUAAAAAAGAAGUACAGAAAGAAACAGUCAUAUACAGUCAAGUAUGGGAGGGGGAAAACAUGCUGCGGGAAAACAACAAGUAUCAACAGGAAACCAACACUUUAGUAUAGAGAAACCGUAACACAGUUAUCAAUAAAAAUUAGGAAAUCAAAGACAAGUGCACGGCAUCACCCUUCGUGCUUUACGCUUUUCCUCACCCCAAACAACAAUCGCAAGGCAAAUAGGGUAAGGGAAUGUAUAAUCUCGAAAUAAAACCAAGAAACAAUAGAAAAUCAGUAAAUAAACGUAAAGGACAACAUAACUCAAUUAUCAGCAAGAAUCAGGGAAAUCAAGGACAAGUGCACGGCAUCACCCUUCGUGCUUUUACUCUUGCCCUCACCAUAAAAACCAAUACAAUAGGCACGGAAUGGUACAUCGUGCGGCACGACAUCACCCUUACGUGUUUAAUAACUCUUUCUUCACUNUGAAAUUAAGNAAUAAGNNNNNNNNNNNNNNNNNNNNNNNNNNNNNNNNNNNNCUGUACAACUUAACACAUUAAAUACUAAAAAUAAGUAAUCCAGUACGCUAAAUACUAUGCUAAAUGAAAACAAGGAAGAUAAAUUUCUUAUCACCUCAAUUUAAUAUACAUCCAAUGAUGAGUUCAAAACAGUAUCACCUAAAGUUAAUUUAAAAACCAAACUUUGACUCAUGAGCUUCAACCAAAUGACAACAAACUUAAAUAUACUCCAAAGAACAAUCGGCACAUGUUGUACAUUUGUUUAAAUUAAAGUAAAAGCAAAAGCAAAAGUUAAAGCAAAAGCAAGAGCAAAAGCAAAAGCAAAAGAUUACUGUUAUUUUAGUCGCUUUUAAUAUUUCGGAAAAAAUUUAAAGUUAUUUAAAACACGUCGUAAGCCACGCUACAUAAAUGCACACACGGUCCACGACACCUUUUAUUUAAGGUUGUUGAAAAUUAGAGUCGGGUCACAUGAAAUGCACACCUGAAUUUUGGAUCGUGUACACAAUCAAUAACAUUUAUUAUUAUAAACAUGAUCUCACCCAAAGUUGCGCUUAUGACAAAAUAAAAAGAGUAAUUAUUUCAUGCAAAAUUAAAGUAAGCCCAAAAGCAACGUAUACCAAACCAAUAAAAAUAAAUGUGCAAAAUUGUCCUCCUAACCUCACAUCAUUGCAGUCAACAAAAGUAUACCAAACUCCAAUACUGAAUAGUCAUAAAACAUAUGCAGACUCAUUGACUAGAUCAGUCAAAAACCUUUCUCCUCUUUGUAUUAUCUGUUAGACAAAAUUACGUUAAUAAUAGUACUUCACAUUAAAGUUUAAUUAUAAACUCACAUGUAUCUCUUCUUCUCACAUCAACAGUGGGUUAUCGACAGAAGAGUCAGAUAUAGAGGAACAAGAAUAGAAUAGCAAAUUAACUUUAAACCAUUUAAGACAUAGAAUAUCACAAAGAGGCGUAAAUCAGAAAACAAAUCAAACCUUAAUUUUAUUCCCAAAGUGUAGAGUGAGAUAGAGAGGGUAACGGACAGAACGAAACAGAUCAACACGCAAAACAGAACUUGAAGAUUCAACCAAAUUUUUUUAAAAAAAAUUUAACUGAAGAUCAAAGGAAUUAAGGUUUUUCGCCUGAUGAAGAAUCAGAACAAGUUAUCGUCGGAACCUCGAACCGGCACACUCGGAUUCGCAGACGGACAACUCGGACGAACCUAUAUCGAGACUACUGUUCCAUAAACUUUUCGAAUGCCACUCGUCACCUCCCUUUCAUUCCCGAUAUUUCACUGUUGUUGCCCUCCCGUUGCAGCUAUGUGCGUUGACGGGGGAGGAGUUGCUAUGGUGGUGGUGGAGCUAGGCAGCUAUGGAGGAGUUGGUUGUUGUGUGUUGUUGGUUUCAGAGGCUGCGUCUGGAGCUCGUAAAUAUGACGAGCUGCUGGAGCUCGUUUUUCCGACGAGUUUCAGGCUACCGGGGUCAGCGUUGUUUCCCUUUUUUCGUUAUUAGGUGUUGGAGGAGUUCUAGGAGGAUUUGAGAUGAGGGAGUUGGGGUGGUCUGCCGUGUAUAUCAAGUGUAUCUCUAGUGUAUAUAGAAUGUAUACUGACUGUAUGCGUUUUGAAGGGUGAGUGUAUUUUCCAGCUCUCUUUGUUCCUUUUUCAUACGCAACUUUGCUGCCUUUUUCCUUUCCAGCCUUUUUCGUUAUUAUCAUGCGCAACUUUGUUGUUGUUUUUUUAUAAAGAAUUCAAACUUAUAUAUUAAUCGAGAAUAAAGUAAUGGAAGGACCUUAUCUUGGCCUCUCACGAAAUCGAACAAAGAAAAGCUAAGGCAAAUACAGUUUGCAUUCCAUAAGAUUUCUACUUGAAUUACACAAUCACAUUCACAUUGUUGCUCGUAGAUAGAGGAAUACCUGGAAUUGGAAAAGAAAAAGGUGAGGAAGAUCAGCAAUAAAAGCAGCAGCACACGGCAACAAACAGCCCAGAUUCAGUGAUUAAAACCAAGGAAUUCAAUUCCAAAUCAAUGGAGCAGUAAACCUUUUAAAAGCUCAGAUUAAAAACCUUCUCUAACCCAAGAUAAACACAUUUCAGGUUCCCAAGAUGGUUCAGAAUUGUUUUCAGAAUGAAGAAGCCAAGAAAAAUGAAAUCGGAAUAACAGUAAUUGUUUUUCUUUUUUGCCCUUUAUAUUUCAGAAAUCUGAUUUCUCAUACUCUCGUUAUCAAAAAUGUGUCUUUCGGCUUUAGAUUGCUUAAGACUUCC
rnacentral:lncRNA from 1 species